GUGUGGCCGAGUGGUCUAAGGCGUUAGACUUAAGCUCUAAUUAUCGCGGGUUCGAACCCCGUCGCU
rnacentral:ncRNA from 16 species